GACGAACGCUGGCGGUGUGCUUAACACAUGCCAGUCGAACGGUAAGGCCCUUUCGGGGGUCCACGAGUGGCGAACGGGUGAGUAACACGUGAGUAACCUGCCCUCAUCUCUGGGAUAACAGUCGGAAACGGUUGCUAAUACUGGAUAUGAGCCUGCAAGGCAUCUUGUGGGUUGGAAAGAUUUUUUGGUUGGGGAUGGACUCGCGGCCUAUCAGCUUGUUGGUGAGGUAGUGGCUCACCAAGGCUUCGACGGGUAGCCGGCCUGAGAGGGCGACCGGCCACAGUGGGACUGAGAGACGGCCCAAACUCCUACGGGAGGCAGCAGUGGGGAAUAUUGCACAAUGGACGGAAGUCUGAUGCAGCAACGCCGCGUGCGGGAUGACGGCCUUCGGGUUGUAAACCGCUUUCAAUUGUGACGAAGCUUUUUGUGACGGUAGCAGUAGAAGAAGCACCGGCUAACUACGUG
rnacentral:rRNA from 1 species